UUAUAUUCUUUUGCUGUUCUUACUAUUCUCUUGUUUGUAGGGAACAUCUAUACUUGUGUGAGCUGUUCACUGAGAAUCUGUAAUCCACAGGACAGGCUGAGAGGUCAGCUAGGAAACAGCAGAAAACAGAAGACAAGACUGCAGUGAUAGAAAAAGAUGGAUAUCAAGCCAAAUGCAACAUCACUGCGUGCUGUCGGGCAACAGCAAAGGAUCCUGUGCACACAAAAAGAAAGUUGCACAAUAUGAAGGAAGCAGUAAAAAUGAAAUGAAGUAGAAGAGACAUGCAGAAAGAAAAAUGCUCUCGGAUGUGUCACAAUCAUCUUGAUUCUUUACCUGGAAAACCUGUAUUUUUUCCUUUGUAAUUAUCUAAUAUACUUUGUGUCAAAGAACAAGGACCUGAGUUCCACUUAAAGAAGAUGAAGUUAACAGAUACCUUUUUCGGGUUUUAUCAUGAAAUUAGAAAUGAAGAUUUUCAGUUUCUGGUAGUCAUGAACAGAGAGCCUCAGUAUGGAGAUCAAACUCAAAGACCCUCUACUUUG
rnacentral:lncRNA from 1 species